rnacentral:rRNA from 1 species
AGGGAAGAGCUCAAAUUUUAAAUCUGACGUCUUCGGCGUCCGAGUUGUAAUCUAUAGAAGUGUUUUCCGCGAUGGACCGUGCACAAGUCUCCUGGAACGGUGCGUCAUAGAGGGUGAGAAUCCCGUA